rnacentral:lncRNA from 10 species
GGGAGCUGUAGUACGCUCCCUGUGCCCACUUUCCUGGGCCGGGGUAGCGCUCUAGGGCAGAAGGGUAAACUCAGAUCCUUCUCCACCCUGCUCUGAGGACCAGGAGAUUGACUUCUACCAACUGCAUUGAUGGCAUCAUCCAGGUGCCCUGACCUCUGGUUUCCAGGUGGAUCUUGCCAAUAGGGAGCAUGGCAGGAGAUCAGAGAGCAGGAGGAGAGAAAAGCUGGAUUAUCUAUUCUUCCUGAUCUCCCCUGUUUUGCUCUGGCUACAGCUGUAGUUGGUGUCAUCUGGCCUCUCCGCCAUGAUUCCACCUCCCACUUAGUCCAGUAACACUAUUUCUCACAUUUGUUUCUUCACUUCAGACUGGGGUGGGAUUGGCUUUCUUCUGCUGAUUGUCCUUGGAUGCCUCAGCAUUCCUGUUGCCCCCCUCAGCCCGCCCACCUUAACCUUGCCCACACCUCCAAAAUAGUCUCUCUUAAUGGUAAAGAGCAGCAGUUACUUU